CCUACGGGUGGCAGCAGUGAGGAAUAUUGGUCAAUGGACGAGAGUCUGAACCAGCCAAGUAGCGUGAAGGAUGACUGCCCUAUGGGUUGUAAACUUCUUUUAUAUGGGAAUAAAAUGUGCCACGUGUGGGAUUUUGUAUGUACCAUAUGAAUAAGGAUCGGCUAACUCCGUGCCAGCAGCCGCGGUAAUACGGAGGAUCCGAGCGUUAUCCGGAUUUAUUGGGUUUAAAGGGAGCGUAGGUGGAUUGUUAAGUCAGUUGUGAAAGUUUGCGGCUCAAACGUAAAAUUGCAGUUGAAACUGGCAGUCUUGAGUACAGUAGAGGUGGGCGGAAUGCGUGGUGUAGCGGUGAAAUGCUUAGAUAUCACGAAGAACUCCGAUUGCGAAGGCAGUUCACUGGACUGCAACUGACACUGAGGCUCGAAAGUGUGGGUAUCAAACAGGAUUAGAUACCCUUGUAGUC
rnacentral:rRNA from 1 species